AUGUGAGACUUGGUAGUAAGAUGAUUGGAGACAUUGGAAGUCUUGAGAUAGAGGUCUUUAGCAAUAACCAA
rnacentral:pre_miRNA from 1 species